rnacentral:rRNA from 1 species
AUUGAACGCUGGCGGCAGGCCUAACACAUGCAAGUCGAGCGGAUGAAGGGAGCUUGCUCCUGGAUUCAGCGGCGGACGGGUGAGUAAUGCCUAGGAAUCUGCCUGGUAGUGGGGGAUAACGUCCGGAAACGGGCGCUAAUACCGCAUACGUCCUGAGGGAGAAAGUGGGGGAUCUUCGGGCCUCACGCUAUCAGAUGAGCCUAGGUCGGAUUAGCUAGUUGGUGGGGUAAAGGCCUACCAAGGCGACGAUCCGUAACUGGUCUGAGAGGAUGAUCGGUCACACUGGAACUGAGACACGGUCCAGACUCCUACGGGAGGCAGCAGUGGGGAAUAUUGGACAAUGGGCGAAAGCCUGAUCCAGCCAUGCCGCGUGUGUGUAGAAGGUCUUCGGAUUGUAAAGCACUUUAAGUUGGGAGGAAGGGCAGUAAGUUAAUACCUUGCUGUUUUGACGUUACCAACAGAAUAAGCACCGGCUAACUUCGUG